UGAGGAAUAUUGCGCAAUGGGGGCAACCCUGACGCAGCAACGCCGCGUGAGUGAGGAAGGUUUUCGGAUCGUAAAGCUCUGUCGAGUGGGAAGAAAUGUAUCAUGGCUAAUAUCCAUGGUAUUUGACGGUACCGCUAAAGGAAGCACCGGCUAACUCCGUGCCAGCAGCCGCGGUAAUACGGGGGGGGCAAGCGUUGUUCGGAAGUAUUGGGCGUAAAGCGCGUGCAGGCGGCUGAAUAAGUCAGAUGUGAAAUCCCUGGGCUUAACUCAGGAAGUGCAUUUGAAACUAUUCAGCUUGAGUAGGGGAGAGGAAAGUGGAAUUCCUGGUGUAGAGGUGAAAUUCGUAGAUAUCAGGAGGAACACCGGUGGCGAAGGCGACUUUCUGGCCCUAUACUGACGCUGAGACGCGAGAGCGUGGGUAGCAAACA
rnacentral:rRNA from 1 species